GUGAGGCUGAGGGAGAGGACCCAUCGGGGAGGCAGGCCGGGGCGCCACCCACCAGCCCAGUCCAGCUGGAAAGGUUGAGUCAAGAACAAACAGGUCCCUGCGGGCAGGACCUCAAAGAAGGGAGCAGCCCAGAGAUGCCUGUGGACUGAAACACAGGAGGCUGAAGAACCCAAAAGGAAUCCAGCAGCCAUGGGGUUACCUGGACAGUUUGAUGACCACUUUCCAAGAGGGGGGAUGUUCCAGAAAGCCAUCCAGCAGGACUGCCCACUGCACCCCGAGGGCCA